AUACGGAGGAUGCGAGCGUUAUCCGGAUUUAUUGGGUUUAAAGGGAGCGUAGGUGGGAUAUUAAGUCAGCUGCGAAAGUUUGGGGCUCAACCUUAAAAUUGCAGUUGAUACUGGUUUCCUUGAGUACGGUAUAGGUGGGCGGAAUUCGUGGUGUAGCGGGUAAAUGCUUAGAUAUCACGAAGAACUCCGAUCGCGAAGGCAGCUCACCGGGCCGGAACUGACACUGAUGCUCGAAAGUGCGGGUAUCAAACAGGAUUAGAUACCCUGGUAGUCCGCACAGUAAACGAUGAAUACUCGCUGUUUGCGAUACACUGUAAGCGGCCAAGCGAAAGCGUUAAGUAUUCCACCUGGGGAGUACGCCGGCAACGGUGAAACUCAAAUGAAUUGACGGGG
rnacentral:rRNA from 1 species